GACGAACGCUGGCGGCGUGCUUAACACAUGCAAGUCGAACGGAAAGGCCCUGCUUUUGUGGGGUGCUCGAGUGGCGAACGGGUGAGUAACACGUGAGUAACCUGCCCUUGACUUUGGGAUAACUUCAGGAAACUGGGGCUAAUACCGGAUAGGAGCUCCUGCUGCAUGGUGGGGGUUGGAAAGUUUCGGCGGUUGGGGAUGGACUCGCGGCUUAUCAGCUUGUUGGUGGGGUAGUGGCUUACCAAGGCUUUGACGGGUAGCCGGCCUGAGAGGGUGACCGGCCACAUUGGGACUGAGAUACGGCCCAGACUCCUACGGGAGGCAGCAGUGGGGAAUAUUGCACAAUGGGCGGAAGCCUGAUGCAGCAACGCCGCGUGCGGGAUGACGGCCUUCGGGUUGUAAACCGCUUUCGCCUGUGACGAAGCGUGAGUGACGGUAAUGGGUAAAGAAGCACCGGCUAACUACGUGCCAGCAGCCGCGGUGAUACGUAGGGUGCGAGCGUUGUCCGGAUUUAUUGGGCGUAAAGGGCUCGUAGGUGGUUGAUCGCGUCGGAAGUGUAAUCUUGGGGCUUAACCCUGAGCGUGCUUUCGAUACGGGUUGACUUGAGGAAGGUAGGGGAGAAUGGAAUUCCUGGUGGAGCGGUGGAAUGCGCAGAUAUCAGGAGGAACACCAGUGGCGAAGGCGGUUCUCUGGGCCUUUCCUGACGCUGAGGAGCGAAAGCGUGGGGAGCGAACAGGCUUAGAUACCCUGGUAGUCCACGCUGUAAACGGUGGGUACUAGGUGUGGGGUCCAUUCCACGGGUUCCGUGCCGUAGCUAACGCUUUAAGUACCCCGCCUGGGGAGUACGGCCGCAAGGCUAAAACUCAAAGGAAUUGACGGGGCCCCGCACAAGCGGCGGAGCAUGCGGAUUAAUUCGAUGCAACGCGUAGAACCUUACCUGGGUUUGACAUGGAUCGGGAGUGCUCAGAGAUGGGUGUGCCUCUUUUGGGGUCGGUUCACAGGUGGUGCAUGGCUGUCGUCAGCUCGUGUCGUGAGAUGUUGGGUUAAGUCCCGCAACGAGCGCAACCCUUGUUCACUGUUGCCAGCACGUUAUGGUGGGGACUCAGUGGAGACCGCCGGGGUCAACUCGGAGGAAGGUGGGGAUGACGUCAAGUCAUCAUGCCCCUUAUGUCCAGGGCUUCACGCAUGCUACAAUGGCUGGUACAGAGAGUGGCGAGCCUGUGAGGGUGAGCGAAUCUCGGAAAGCCGGUCUCAGUUCGGAUUGGGGUCUGCAACUCGACCUCAUGAAGUCGGAGUCGCUAGUAAUCGCAGAUCAGCAACGCUGCGGUGAAUAAGGUCCCGGG
rnacentral:rRNA from 1 species